UUAAGUUAUUAAGGGCGCACGGUGGAUGCCUUGGCACUAGAAGCCGAUGAAGGACGUUACUAACGACGAUAUGCUUUGGGGAGCUGUAAGUAAGCUUUGAUCCAGAGAUUUCCGAAUGGGGAAACCCAGCAUGAGUUAUGUCAUGUUAUCGAUAUGUGAAUACAUAGCAUAUCAGAAGGCACACCCGGAGAACUGAAACAUCUUAGUACCCGGAGGAAGAGAAAGAAAAUUCGAUUCCCUUAGUAGCGGCGAGCGAAACGGGAAGAGCCCAAACCAACAAGCUUGCUUGUUGGGGUUGUAGGACACUCUAUACGGAGUUACAAAGGACGACAUUAGACGAAUCAUCUGGAAAGAUGAAUCAAAGAAGGUAAUAAUCCUGUAGUCGAAAAUGUUGUCUCUCUUGAGUGGAUCCUGAGUACGACGGAGCACGUGAAAUUCCGUCGGAAUCUGGGAGGACCAUCUCCUAAGGCUAAAUACUCUCUAGUGACCGAUAGUGAACCAGUACCGUGAGGGAAAGGUGAAAAGCACCCCGGAAGGGGAGUGAAAUAGAACCUGAAACCGUGUGCUUACAAGUAGUCAGAGCCCGUUAAUGGGUGAUGGCGUGCCUUUUGUAGAAUGAACCGGCGAGUUACGAUUUGAUGCAAGGUUAAGCAGUAAAUGUGGAGCCGUAGCGAAAGCGAGUCUGAAUAGGGCGUUUAGUAUUUGGUCGUAGACCCGAAACCAGGUGAUCUACCCUUGGUCAGGUUGAAGUUCAGGUAACACUGAAUGGAGGACCGAACCGACUUACGUUGAAAAGUGAGCGGAUGAACUGAGGGUAGCGGAGAAAUUCCAAUCGAACCUGGAGAUAGCUGGUUCUCUCCGAAAUAGCUUUAGGGCUAGCCUCAAGUGAUGAUUAUUGGAGGUAGAGCACUGUUUGGACGAGGGGCCCCUCUGGGGUUACCGAAUUCAGACAAACUCCGAAUGCCAAUUAAUUUAACUUGGGAGUCAGAACAUGGGUGAUAAGGUCCGUGUUCGAAAGGGAAACAGCCCAGACCACCAGCUAAGGUCCCAAAAUAUAUGUUAAGUGGAAAAGGAUGUGGCGUUGCCCAGACAACUAGGAUGUUGGCUUAGAAGCAGCCAUCAUUUAAAGAGUGCGUAAUAGCUCACUAGUCGAGUGACACUGCGCCGAAAAUGUACCGGGGCUAAACAUAUUACCGAAGCUGUGGAUUGUCCUUUGGACAAUGGUAGGAGAGCGUUCUAAGGGCGUUGAAGCAUGAUCGUAAGGACAUGUGGAGCGCUUAGAAGUGAGAAUGCCGGUGUGAGUAGCGAAAGACGGGUGAGAAUCCCGUCCACCGAUUGACUAAGGUUUCCAGAGGAAGGCUCGUCCGCUCUGGGUUAGUCGGGUCCUAAGCUGAGGCCGACAGGCGUAGGCGAUGGAUAACAGGUUGAUAUUCCUGUACCACCUAUAAUCGUUUUAAUCGAUGGGGGGACGCAGUAGGAUAGGCGAAGCGUGCGAUUGGAUUGCACGUCUAAGCAGUAAGGCUGAGUAUUAGGCAAAUCCGGUACUCGUUAAGGCUGAGCUGUGAUGGGGAGAAGACAUUGUGUCUUCGAGUCGUUGAUUUCACACUGCCGAGAAAAGCCUCUAGAUAGAAAAUAGGUGCCCGUACCGCAAACCGACACAGGUAGUCAAGAUGAGAAUUCUAAGGUGAGCGAGCGAACUCUCGUUAAGGAACUCGGCAAAAUGACCCCGUAACUUCGGGAGAAGGGGUGCUCUUUAGGGUUAACGCCCAGAAGAGCCGCAGUGAAUAGGCCCAAGCGACUGUUUAUCAAAAACACAGGUCUCUGCUAAACCGUAAGGUGAUGUAUAGGGGCUGACGCCUGCCCGGUGCUGGAAGGUUAAGAGGAGUGGUUAGCUUCUGCGAAGCUACGAAUCGAAGCCCCAGUAAACGGCGGCCGUAACUAUAACGGUCCUAAGGUAGCGAAAUUCCUUGUCGGGUAAGUUCCGACCCGCACGAAAGGCGUAACGAUUUGGGCACUGUCUCAACGAGAGACUCGGUGAAAUCAUAGUACCUGUGAAGAUGCAGGUUACCCGCGACAGGACGGAAAGACCCCGUGGAGCUUUACUGUAGCCUGAUAUUGAAAUUCGGCACAGCUUGUACAGGAUAGGUAGGAGCCUUUGAAACGUGAGCGCUAGCUUACGUGGAGGCGCUGGUGGGAUACUACCCUAGCUGUGUUGGCUUUCUAACCCGCACCACUUAUCGUGGUGGGAGACAGUGUCAGGCGGGCAGUUUGACUGGGGCGGUCGCCUCCUAAAAGGUAACGGAGGCGCUCAAAGGUUCCCUCAGAAUGGUUGGAAAUCAUUCAUAGAGUGUAAAGGCAUAAGGGAGCUUGACUGCGAGACCUACAAGUCGAGCAGGGUCGAAAGACGGACUUAGUGAUCCGGUGGUUCCGCAUGGAAGGGCCAUCGCUCAACGGAUAAAAGCUACCCCGGGGAUAACAGGCUUAUCUCCCCCAAGAGUUCACAUCGACGGGGAGGUUUGGCACCUCGAUGUCGGCUCAUCGCAUCCUGGGGCUGUAGUCGGUCCCAAGGGUUGGGCUGUUCGCCCAUUAAAGCGGUACGCGAGCUGGGUUCAGAACGUCGUGAGACAGUUCGGUCCCUAUCCGUCGUGGGCGUAGGAAAUUUGAGAGGAGCUGUCCUUAGUACGAGAGGACCGGGAUGGACAUACCUCUGGUGUACCAGUUGUCGUGCCAACGGCAUAGCUGGGUAGCUAUGUGUGGACGGGAUAAGUGCUGAAAGCAUCUAAGCAUGAAGCCCCCC
rnacentral:rRNA from 1 species